UUAUAGACCGACUAAGUUUGUUCUGGUACGAGCUUUUGUGUGCAUCUGAAGAAGUGUGCAUGCACACGAAAGCCUAUACCAGAACAAACUUAGUUGGUCUAUAA